ACACGUUUAAAACCCUCCAGAGUAGCCUAUGCGGCCAAGUCCAAACUAGGCUUCGUGUGAGUCUCCAUCAGCUUCCCUGUAAGGAGCUCCUUUAUCUUCAAUUCUUGGACCCUGAGGUACUUUGGAGGUGAUCAUGGGGAAGAUACUUAAGCGCUUCUUGGUUCCUUGGCCAUGGUUGAAUUUGAAAGAGGCAGAACUUGGGUGGGAAGCCCUCUUUCCCUUUGCUCUUUCUCCAACCCGUGACCCUCCCCCAUUGUCUGACCACUGCACCCAGCCUCUUCUUUGACAGCUGUCUUGCGGGUCCCCGGGAGUGGUCUGGCACCCUCUUGUAUGUCCUUGCAGAGUGACUUGAAUGCUGAUGAUGUGUGCCUGGCUCAGCACAGAUGUCUCCCUUCAAUACCUCUGUACCAAGCCCUUGCCUUACCACGCUUUCUGCCUGAAGUUGUUUCCCCCCCCCCCCCCCCCCGCCCCAUGGGGAGAAAGACUCGUGAGCAUGUUCCAGAAGGCAUCGAUUGGCCUGCCCUGCCUAGCACAAGGCACUUGCUCAGUCAAUGAUUGGUGAAUAAGUUAACCCUGGCUUGCAUGUGCUCUAGAUGACUCCCGGGUCUGAUUCCAGCCUGAGUCACCAGAGGAUUCGUGGGGACUAGAGCAAAGGAGAGCCUUGCAUGUUGCCAGAAAGGGAGGUAGUUCGAUAUAUGUGGGGUGCCGCUGUGCCCGUGUGUUUCGGAGGGACCGGGAGUGGGUGGUGAUGGUCCUGUGGCACCUGUACACCUGUGGCAAGCCAGUACCUGACACGUUGGCAUUACCUGGCUUCUGCACAUCCGCCCUUUAUGAUCCCCAGUACUUGGAAACUUUUCUGGACACACUGAGAAGACUCUCCAAGAGCCAGGCUACCUGUCAAGUUUCCAGGGCCUCUGACCCCUGCUGCCUCUUCUUUUCCUCCCCAGAGUGUGUGGAUAAAGCACCAGAAUCUCUCUGGGGAAGCCUGACCUCACUUGAAAAAGGACCUGUUUGAGAGAGGUGUAUGUGUUGGUGGGGCUGGGAGGUGCCUAGACUUGUAAGGACCUGUAUCGAUGAGAGAAAUGACAAAAAUAAUCUUCUACUCAGUCAAUCCAGCUAAAGAUGCUGCAGUCCCAGGGAAACGUUUAGCAAGGAUCUGCUUUUGUGUUUCUCAUUUAUGAAAAGCAACAACAACAAACAAACAAAGGAAAAGACUCCCAGGCUUCCUGCGGUGAGGGAGCUAUGGGUUGGUGCCCGACCUCCCGGGAGAAAGGGCUGCAGACUGACUGAAGGAGUCCUCAUUGUGGGGGAAGCAAGCUUGCUUCUUCUUCUUUCUUUUCCAUUCCCUGUGCAGACUCACAGCCCUGUGCACUUAAUUCUCCAUGCCUGUGCAUCAGCAUUGCAGUAGACUUUUCCAUAUGCUCCUUCCACUCUGAACAACAGCAUGGAUUGUUAUUUCCAACCUACAGAGGAAAGAACCGAGGCUCAGAGAAGUGAACUAAGUUGCCCAGAACAUAUUGCCGAUAAGUGGAUGAACCCGAUUGUUUAUUUAUUUAAUGAACAUACUAAGUUAUGCAUUGAGCUACGGAGAGAACAAAGAUAAAUAAAAUGUGUUGGUUCUGGGCAAGAAGAAAUUCAGCGUAGGAGUGGAAGAUAGCAAUUAUACAACAAUAUGAGUGUGGGAGGCGUUUCCUGGCACUUCUCCACGGUGACUUCUCAGCAGGGCUUCGGGGGAACCAGGAGGUGGCCGUGCCAAAGGCUUUUGACUGAGGGAAAGUCAACCCACCGCCCAGGGUGCCAUGACUGCCCCAAGGCAUCUCGGAAGAAGUAGGCCAAAGAUCAUCAGGAAACAGUGGCUUCUGGGUUCACUGCCGCAAAGCAAGCUAUGGGAGUUUAUGUUCAGUAGACCACAACCACCUGGACAAAUGAUAACUGCAGGUGGGAGCCUGUGCUAGUUGACCUCCCGAAGUCCCUUCCAAAAUGGUAGGUCCAUGAAGAGGACAGAGUGCACCAUUCAGAAAGGCUGGAACUUCCCAACACCCACGGAGAGAGGGACAUUGAUGACAGCUUCUUUCAAGAGCCAGUUUCUUACAUUUGUAGGAGCAAAAGGGUGGUGACCGGGACCCUCAGAGGAGAGGAGGUGAUAUGCAAGAUGUGAGGGUGCAAGAGGAGAGAAAAUCCUGGGCGGAAGAGACGCUGGGCCUUCACGAGCGUUGCACCUUCUGACUUCAAGGGGCCUUUCAACAAAAGUGUCUACAGCUCAGGUGGUGUAGAAUUUAAAGUCAACAGUGAUCUUUCCUUCAUGUUUGGAUGGUUUUUCCUUCUGGAUUUCAGAAGCCCAUGACUGAGAUUUCGGCCUUUGAACAAACACCCACCCAGCCACAUUUCAAACCACAAGUAACAACCGUGGCACUGGAGCGGUAGUUUCAUACCCAGUGUGUGGAUCCUAUCUCUGCAGGAUUCUGGUUUUAAGAAUGCUGUUGGCUGACUUCUACAGAGGAGAGUUCCAGGUUCUCGGAACGGGCUGGGACCAUGACAAAAGUGCCAGAAAGAGGUCUUCUAUGCUUGAUCGUCCCUCGAGUGAAUAGACCAGCUUCUUUCUCCAAAGUCUGGGAUCCUUGGAGGCCUUUGGAGGGGAAGGUGAAAUCUUGGCACUAGAGUAUAGCAGAUCCUGGCUGUGGUUUGCCUAUGACUCUUCUAGAUAAAUUCAGCAGACCAAGGCUGCUAUCUGACGUGGAAAUAACAAGGGGACUAAUGCCUGGAGUGCACAGGUUGUCAGAGGUAAUCAGGUCUAAUGUUCCUUGGGUUUCCUCUUCCUCUGUGCUAUUCCUCUGUUUUCAUGCCUUCCCACGGCAGCAGGCCCUGAAGGCGCUGAGCCUAGGCUCUAGGAGCUUUUCAGAGGCUUUCGGACUUAGGAUGAUGGCUAAGAGCUCCUCUUUCCCCUAAAGCCCCACACUGGAUCCAUCAUUCAAAACAAAAUUGCGAAAUCAAAAUAAAUCAAUUUCUGCAAAAUGUAGCACGUCAACCAACUCCAAACCAGCUCAAGUCUUAGAUGGUCACAUGCCAAUUUAUUUCAUGUGGGAUGUGGGUACAUUUUCAUACCUUUGAUGGGAUGUGGAAUGUGACUGCAAAACUAAGCUUGCCUGGGGCCGAGGAGAGAUUUACAGCGCUCUUCUCGGUAGCUUCUGGAAGGCUCCAGCCCCUUACGGAGCCAGCAUGUUGCAGGGCCUUCAGCAGUUUCUCCUGGGCCCUGCGCUCCGAACACUGGGUGGCAGCACAGAACUUCCUAAGCUUCCUCCAGACUCUGACUGCGAACCUGAGAAUUCCACCUUAAGAGGGCCAUGCACAGAACCAUGCAAAAAGUGCAGUAAUUCUUGGAUGUGGCUAAUCUCUAUAAUUCACCCUAUUGCAGAUACAAGUGACAGCUGCAAUAGGGGUGAUGUUCUCGCAUUCGCUGUGUCACCAGGAUGCUAUUUCGAAUCUUCCUGAGAUUAGAAAAAGGAUUACAAUUGCCCCCAGGGCCUUGCCAUGUAAUUUUUAUCAGUCUUGAUCUGUGAGUUCCCCCUGGCAGUGUGCAUGGGCUUCCGUGUGUGUGUGUGUGUGUGUGUGUGUGUGUGUGUGUGUGUGUGAUGAACUGGCCCAUGAUGAGAUGAGAUGUAAGGCUCCCCAGGACCACAUGGUCCAUUUUUUCUGCCACUGGACUCUCUUUCCAAGUUUGUCCCCAGCUCCAAGACUCUUUCCUUUGUUAUUCCUUGCAUGCGGUGCAGCAGGACCAACUUCAUGGACAUCCAACCUGUUCAGCUAAACGAGGCCCCAGCACUCAGAAGUUCCUGUCUUUGGCUGAUCCUCUGUUAUUGCUGUCUUAAAAUUCUUAAUAAACAUCGGGCGCCUGGGUGGCUCAGUCAGUUAAACAUCCGACUUCGGCUCAGGUCAUGAUCUCACGGUUCAUGGGUUCGAGCCCCACGUCAGGUUCUGUGAGGACAGCCCAGAGCCCGGAGCCUGCUUCGGAUUCUGUGUCUCCCUCUCUCUCUGCCCCUCCCCUGCAGGCGC